ACAACUUCAGCGGACCACCACCACCACCACCACACAACUUCAGCGGACCACCACCACCACCACCGCACAACUUCAACGGACCACCACCACCACCACCGCACAACUUCAACGGACCACCACCACCACCGUACAACUUCAACGGGCCACCACCUCCUCCACCAAACAACUUCAACGGACCACCACCUCCUCCACCGAACAACUUCAACGGACCACCACCACGCAACUAUGCUUCAGCAUCACCAAAUCACGGAGGAGGAGGAGGAGGAGCACCCCACAACUAUGGGGGGCCACAGGAAAACAACUAUUGGGGAGCACAGCAGCCAAACAACUAUGGUGGACCUUCAAACUCUGGCCGGGGACCUGCAUAGAACAACUA
rnacentral:lncRNA from 1 species